GAACAAGGAGGACAUGGAUGGAAAUGAUCUCAAACCUCUAUGGAUUUCAGGUAUGGCAGAUUUCACCUGUCACACUACCAUGUGAGUGGAGGUGGCCUUCUUUGAUUAGCAGCCUAUGUCUUUAAAACUGAGACUGAGGUGGUACAGGAGAGGAAGAGGACUAUGC